GUAACUCUCUUUUUAUUUCCAUAUGAUUUAUAAGACAAAUUCAAAAAAUAAUUACAUAUAUAUGUUAACAGCACACAAUGUAAAAAAAAAAAAAAGAUGUAAUUUCUGACAAUAACUACUUAAAGGGGAGAGGAGGAAUAUAAGUGCAGAGUUUGAUAUACAGGCAUACCUCAGAGAUAUUGCAGGUUUGGUUCCAGGCCACCACAAUAAAGCAAAUAUCACAAUAAAGUGAGUCACACGAAUUUUUUGGUUUCCCAGUGCAUACAAAAGUUAUGUUUAGGGACAGCCUGGUCGUGUAGUCAUUAAGUUCACCGUGCUCCACUUCAGUGGCCAAGGGUUUGCUGGUUCUGGUCCUUGGCAGGGGCCUACACACCCCUCAUCAAGCCAUGCUGUGGUGGCAUCCCACAUAGAAGACGUAGAGGGACUUACAACUAGGAUAUACAACUAUGUACUGGGGCUUUGCGGAGAAAAAUAGAAGAUGAAGAUUGGCAACAGCUGUUAGAUCAGGGCCACUCUUCCUCACCAAAAGAGCAUAAAAAACAAUGUGAGAUAGUAAUACCUGUUGUUUAGAAAAAAAUGUUAUGUUUAUACUAUACUGUAGUCUAUUAAGCAUGCAAUAAGAUUAUGUCUAAAAAAACUAUGUACAUACCUUAACUUAAAAAUACUUUGCUAAAAAAUACUAACCAUCAUCUGAGCCUUCAGCAAGUUAUAAUCUUUCUGCUAGCAGAGAGUCUUGCCUCCACAUUGACGGCUGCUGACUCAUCAAGGUGGUGGUUGCUGAAGGUUGGGUGGCUGUGUCAAUUUCUUAAAAUAAGACAACAAUGAAACUUGCCGCAUCGAUUGACUCUUCCUUUCAUGAACGAUUUCUCUGCAGCAUGCGAUGCUGUUUGAUAGCAUUUUACCCACCACAGAACUUCUUUCAAAAUCCUCUCAAGCCCUGACACUGAUUUUUCAACUAAGUUUAUGUCAUGUUCUAAAUCCUUUGUUUUCAUUUCACCAACCUUCACAGCAUCUUGACCAGGAGUAGACUCCAUCUCAAGAAACCACUUUCUUUGCUCAUCCAUAAGGGGCAGCUCCUCAUGCAUUAAAGUUUUCUCAUGAGAUGGCAGCAGUUCAGUCACGUCUUCAGCUCCACGCCUACUUCUAGUUCUCUUGCCGUUUCCACCACAUCUGCAGUUACUUCCUCCGCUGACGUCCUGAACCCCUCACAGUCAUCCCUGAGGGCUGGAAUCAACUCCUUCCAAACUCCUGUUAAUGUUGAUAUUUUGACCUUUUCCCAUGAAUCACGAAUCUUCUUAAUGGCAUCUAGAAUAGUGGAUCCUUUCCAGAGGGUUUUCAAUUUACUUCGGCAGGUCUGUCAGAGGAAUGACAAUCUAUGGCAGCUAUAGCCUUCCAAAAUGUAUUUCUUAAAUGAUAAGACUUGAAAGUCAAAAUUACUCCUUGAUGCAUGGGCUGCAGAAUGGAUGUUGUGUUAGCAGGCAUGAAAACCACAUUAAUCUCAUUGUACAUUUUUCCAUCAGAGCUCUUGGGCGACCAGGUGCACUGUCAGCAAGCGGUGAUAUUUUGAAAGGAAUCUUUUCUCCUGAGCAGUAGCUCUCAACAGUGGGCUUAAAAUAUUCAGUAAACCAAUAUGCUGUCAUCCAAGCUUUGUUGUUGCAUUUAUAGAGCACAGGCAGAGUAGAGUUAGCCUAAUUCUUAAGGGCCCUAGGAUUUUCGCAAUGGUAAAUGAACGCUGGCUUCAACUUAAAGUCAUCAGCUGCAUUAGCCCCUAAUAAAAGAGUCAGCCUGUCCUUUGAAGCUUUGGAGCCAGGCACUGACUUCUCCUCUCUAGCUGUGAAAGUCUUAGAUGGCAUCUUCUUCCAACAUAAGGUUGUUUUGUCGGGUCCAGCCCCGGGGCCAAGUGGUUAAGUUCACGAGCUCCGCUUCAGUGGCCCAGAGCUUUGCCAGUUUGGAUCCUAGGCAUGGACAUGGCACCGCUCAUCAAGCCAUGCUGAGGCGGCGUCCCACAUAGCAGAGCCAGCGGGACCUACAACUAGAAUAUACAACUACGUACUGGGAGGCUUUGGGGAGAAGAAAAAGAAGAAGGAAAAAAGAAGAUUGGCAACAGAUGUUAGCUCAGGUGCUAAUCUUAAAAAAAAAAGGUUGUUUUGUCUACACUGAAAAUCUGUUGUUUAGUGUAGCCCCCUUCAUUAAUUAUCUCAACUAGAUCUUCUGGAGAACUUGCUGCAGCUUCUACAUCAGCACUUGCUGCUUCACCUUGGACUUUUACAUUGUGGAGACGGCUUCUUUCCUUGAACCUCAUGAACCAACCUCUGCUGCCUUCACACUUUUCUUCUGCAGCUUCCUCAGCUCUCUCAGCCUUCAUAGACUUGAAGAGGGUUAGGGCCUUGCUCUGGAUUAGGUUUUGGCUUAAGGGAAUGUUGUGGCUGGUUUGAUCUUCUAUCCAGACCGCUAAAACUUUCUCCAAAUCAGCAAUAAGGCUGUUUCACUUUCUUAUAAUUCGUGUGUGCACUGGAGCAGCACAUUUAACUUCCUUCAAGAACUUUCCCUUUGCAUUCACAACUUGGCUAACUGGUGGGCACAAGAGGCCUAGCUUUCAGCCUGUCUUGGCUUUCACCUUGCUUUCCUCACUCAGCUUGAUCACUUACGGCUUUUGAUGUACAGUGAGAGAUGUGCGACUCUUCCUUUCACUUGAACAUUUGGAGGCCAUCGUAGGGUUAUUAAUUGCCCUAAUUUCAUAUUGUUCUGUCUCAAGGAACAGGGAGGCCUGAGAAGAGGGAGAAAGACAGGGGAAGGGCUGGUUGGGGGAGCAGUCAGACCAUACGCAGUAUUUAUUGUUUGCCAUCUUAUAUGGGUGCGGUUUACGGCACCCCAAAACAAUGACAAUAGUAACACCAUAGAUCACUAAUCACAAAUCACCAUAACAAAUAGAGUAAUAAUGAAAAAGUUUGAAAUACUGUGAGAAUUGUCAAAAUGUGACACAGAGACAUGAAGUGAGCAAAUGCUAUGGGGAAAAUGGUGCUGACAGACUAGCUUGUUGCAGGGUUGUCACAAAUCUUCAAUUUGUGAAAAACUCAAUAUCUGCAAAGCACAGUAAAGCAAAGCACAGGUAUAUCUGUAUUACAGAAGCUAAGCUGAUGUUAAUUCCAACUAGAUGGUUACAAAUGUAAGACGUGAAUUGUAAUCCCCAGGGUAACCACUAAGGAAAUAACUAAAAAAUAUACAGAGAAGGAAUGAGAAGGAAUUAAAACAACAUACUAGAAAAAAAUCAAUUCAACACAAAAGAAGAUCGUAAUGGAGAAAUUGAGGAACAACAACAAAAAAGACAUGUAGAACACAAAUAAUAAAAUGGCCAAAGUAACUCCUUCCUUAGCAGUAAUUACUUAAAGUGCAAAUGAAUUAAACUUUGUGUGAUGGUUAAAUUUGUGUCGGUUUGGCUGGGGCAAGAUUCUCCAGCAGGCUGUAUAUGCUCUGAAUUAGCACCCAACAUAUGAUACUGUUUCUCCCAUAGCCAGGAUUCACAGGUCCAGGAAUCAAGGGGUGGAAAUAGGAGUGGUGCCACACACUAUCACUCCUAGGUCACUCCUAGUGACCCACUAGCAAAAUUUUUGUUUCCUGUCCCCGUGACCUUAUGCUAUGCUGGCCUAGAAAUCUUAGUUCCAAAGGGAGGAACGCUUCCAAAGGAGACACAAUAGUGAUUCCAUUAAACUAGAAGUUAAGACUGUCAUCUAGCCACCCUUGGGGGUCCUCAGGCUUCUGAAUCAACAGGAAAAGAAGGGAGUUAAUGUGCUGUCUGGGGUAACUGAUCAUGACAACCAGGUAUAAAUUGGACUGCUACUUCACAAUGGAGGUAAGGAAGAGUAUUCUGGAAUCCAGAAGAUCCCUUAGGGCAUCUCUUAGUACUACCAUGCUCUUUAAUUAAAGUCAAGGGAAAAUUACAGCAACCCAAUCCAGGAGGGACUACUAAUGGCCCAGACCCUUCAGGAAUAAAGGUUUGGGUCACCCUAUCAGGCUGCUCUUAAUUGAAAACACUAGAUCCAACAGCAAUGACUUUACUUCCCAAGUGAAUCCAUAGGUUUAAUGCCAUUACAGGUUCUCGUAUUCCGGUCUGUACAGCUCAGAAGCUGUCAGGAACCCCAAGAGAAGAAGAGGGGCCGUCGUGGGUCAUUAUAUAUUUUACAGCUGACCACUGAGUUCCUAAAAGAAAGUCUUAACUCUCAGCCUUCCCAACCCAGGAACUCCUGGCAAGAGAGCCCAGAGCCCAACAAGGCCCCGGGUAGCUGCUGCCCAGUCUCUGAGAAAGAGAUUCAGAGGCCACUGGAGUCCCAAGUGGCAACAGGGGACAUCCAGUCCAGCUGCUCACCAGUUGGCAGUCUGCCCUUCCUCUAGGACCCGCUUUCCGCCAGGGACUAGAGGAGCUCACCUAUUGGAAGGCCCCAGCAGAAGGAGCCAGGGGCCUCCCCGGGGGCGUGGGCUGCUGUGCUCCUGAACUGACUCUUCCUUGGGAGAGGCGGGCACCCUGCCUUCCUGUCUGCAGCUGUGGGUGCAGACAAAGUACACGAGGCCUCUCUCCUCCCCUGGGCCAGCCAGCUUUUAACACCACUGUGGAGGCGGGGUGCCACCCUCGCUGCCCAGUGAGCAUCCUCUGUCAUCGCUACCCAUCUAGGGUUCAUUUCCACAAAGAAAUGUCCCUCAGGCUGAUGAAUACCACCCCCCUCGUUCUUCCUUGAUACCUGUCUCCUCAGAAGCACAACCUGCUCACCUGUUCUCCAUCUUUCCCCAGGACCACAAACAACCACCAGAACAACCAACCUCAACUUCAGCCAAAUCCCCAGGCCAUUUUCUCAUGUUUUCCCCAAUUUUGUCCAUACACAUUUUCCUGCAAAGGUCCCUUUGCCCUUUUGGAGCUGUGUCUCUUCUCCGAGAAUAGUGGGUGUUAGUCAGGAAUACGCUAAAGACUUCCUCUUAAUAGAAAAAGAGCUACCCCAUGGGGAUCCCAGUUCCCCCAGACCUCGGCCAUACGGCUCUCACCUGGCUGGUAGACACCUUGAUUUGCUUUUCACUGUCCAUCCCUGGGGGUCAGGGUUCUUCUCUCCCCCAGUCAGUUGCUGGGGAAGAAGGGGCAUUGUGCAGUACUAUACUGCGGUAGCUCUCUGAGGUGGGACCCAGUCACUCUGUCAAGAGCCUCCAGAGAAGAAGAAAGGGUGGUCAUGGGUCAUUUUACAGGUAGCCCCUGUGUGCUUCACAGAGCCACGUGAGCCUCCUCCAGAGGCCAGGGCUGCCUUCCUCAGUGAUCCCUACUGUUUCUCCUCAGCGCCUCAUCUUCCUCCCAAAACUGGCUGCAUCUCAGAGUUCUGAGGAAUUCACUUUCCAAGCAAGAUCCUAGGCCCUUGUGUCCAUGGCCAGAGGCCAGGUUCUCAUUGGUUUCUUGCUCUAGGUACAGUGGUGAGUGUAAAGGGCUCAGCAGCUACCUAGAUGGAGUGAUGUGGAAGGAGGGGACUUUAGGAAUGAGACCUGACCCCUCCCUUGGGCAUCUGCUCUCCCAGACCAUAGUUUACUCUUUCCAGGUAGAAGUUUCGCGCAGUAAGUCUUCCUGUGUCUUCUCCUCUGGCCCUGACUUUGACAGGAGAGCUGCUGUUGUACCUACUGGACCACCUGCUGCCUUAAACUUGGGCUCUGAGACCAGAAUCACCAGCAUCUCCUCAAAGGAAACCCAGCAGCUGAAACCCUCUUUUGCCAGGAGCCAGCCCUGGUCCGACAGGGUCUCAGACUGAGAAACCCACAGCAGCUGCCCAGGCAGCAAGCGUCACUGUCGGUUGUGAACCAACCAGCUGGUGCUCACCCUGUAGUUCCCCUUCAUGGACCUCCUUGGGGAGAAAUUCCAGGAUUUCAGACUCUUGGGUCCCCUCGUCACUGAGCUCAGUGUCCCUAACUGGGCACUUGCAGCAUUUCUAAGAGUUUGUGCUUCUGCCAAAACAAUAAGGUCCUUGGAGAUGGAUCCAAUCCAUUCUCUGACUCCAUACAAUGGCUACUCUCCGUUCAGUCUGAAUGUGGGUGAGAUGUGCCCCCCAACACACCCUUCGGCAUCCCUCCCUGAAUGGGGCGGGAAAGCCACGAGGCACAGGUGUAGAAGGAAGAACUGCAGAAAGAGGAAGCCAGCAGCCUCCUGCUGAAUCUUGCUUAGGGUUCUACGUACAGAUGGUCUCAGAAGGAAUUUACUCUCCUGUGGAGGAAACAGUUGGAAUUCACAGAAACCCUGUGAACCUGAGUUUCCUCACGUGUAGAAUGAGGACACUGGACUCCAUAAUGUCCAAGUGUCCUUCUGUGGUAGAAGAAUACUUCUCCCCCCACACCCAAAGAUGUCCAUUUCCUGCUCCCCAGAACCUGUGAAUAUGUUAUGUUACCUGGCAAGGGGGAAUUAAGGUUGCAGAUGGAAUUAGGCAACCAAUCAGGUAACCUUGAGAUGGGGAGUUUAUCCUGGAUUAUCCGAGUGAGCCCAGUGUAAUCUUAAGGGUCCUUAUAAGUGAAAGAGGGAGGCAGGAGGGUCAGUGUCAGAGGCAGAGAUUUGAAGAUGCUGCUUUGAAGAUGGAGGAAGGGACGAUGAGCCAAAGGAUGCAGAUGGCCACUAGAAAUGGGAAAAGGCAAGACGACUGUUCUCCCCUAAAGCCUCCUGAAGGAACACAGUCUUGCCAAUGUCUGGAUUUUAGCCCAGUGGGACCCACUUUGAACUUCUCACCUGCAGAACAUUAAGACAAUUUGUGUUGUUUUCACCCCCUCAUCUUGUCGUAACUUAUUACAGCAGCAGUAGGAAACUAAUUCACCCUCCAUCCCUAACACCCACACCACAAUUUCCCAUUGGCUCCACCCUUUCCACCAGAGCUCCAUCUCUUCUGUCUCUAAGUUAUGGAUCCCUGGGUACCAGCACUGCUAUGAGUCAGAAUCCCAAUCCUGGUGCAACCUCAUAUCAAAUAUUUAUAUACUCUGAAGGAAAUCAGGAGCAUAACAUCCUACCUUUACACAGGACCUUGCUGUUUUUAAACCACUGUCAUUCGAAAAGAAUGUACCAGAGUGUUCUUAUGUGCUACUGAGCUGCUUCCUUGCAGAUGCAAAGCCAAAUGGACAUCAUCCUUUCCCUCAAGGAAUUCACUGUCUAGUUGGAAAAAGAAACACAGAAGCAACUACCUAGAAUCCUUGAUGUUUCAGAAGUUAGACUAGAGUUGGACCAACCCAGAGUCCCUCAAUGGAGACAGCAAAUGGCAAGAAGAGUUAUAUUAAUUGACCACAUCUUCUCUAACCUUCUGAUAUUGGACAAUGGCGCCAGACUGAGCUAUGGAGCAUACCUGGACAUGCAUAUUUUUUUUAAUCUAAUGGAUAAUUCUGAAUCAUAGCCAGGACGCUGAACCACUGAAAGAUCUUUUCACGUUUUACUUUGUGUCAAGUGUUCUUUGUACUCUCCUUUUGUCAGAGGUGGUUGGAAAAUUCUAGUAACACAGAGUGGUAGAGAAAAAUCACUGCUUAAGCGCAGGAUCAUGAACAAGGCAUCCAUUUCCUCAUGUCUCCUCUCCCCUUCCUUAUUCUCAAAACGUGUCACACUCAUGUAUAGUCUUUAUGUGGAUGGAUAGGACUAACUCAAACUUGAAUCAUUCCUUUUCGUAUGCUUGGUUUUGGGGUUUUGUUUUGUUUGAACCUGAGCAGAAUUGUCAUUAGGACCUGGAAACAAAUACGUCACACAGAAGACUUACUGACAAAAGAAAUUUGACUAAAUUCUUCCUUUUGUGUUGAAUAUUGACUGCUGAAAUACCCAAAUUGGCAAUUUAUGAAGAGGAAAACUGGCAAACCAUUUAGAUGGAAUGUCUAAGAAACUAUAAGUUUUUAAUGGAGUUAAGGGUGGCCUGUUUCUAUAAUAUUUUAUGAAUCUAGCCAGGCAAGACCGUGCAUGUAGAGCUAUGAGUCAAUUGAGCAAGGAUCAGAGCCACCAUUGCAAACUGUCCGUAAACAGUCCAGAAAUAGGCAUUCUUCCUCAGGUGUUUCUUUAGCUUGACUUUCUAAAUCUAUGACACAAGGAAUAUUACCAAGACUCAGCAAGAAAGAGACCUGAUGGCUUCAAAGAUUUUGACACUGGAAACUUGUCCUGGCAUAUCUGAAAUGUAUUAUGUCACAUGUCCAUGGGCUCAGCCUGGAGCCCACACCUUGAGCAUCUGCCCAGAAUUCUCACCCUGAUUCUUCGUACCUCUACUCUUCUUUGUUGGGUGGACCGCUUCUUGAUCCCCCAGGGCAAUGCCUAUGGGGCUUUGAUGUGGCUGAAGCAUAAUCAGAGGGGAAGGACAGAGCACACAAGGCAAGAAAGUUUGGAAUAAACCUGCAUCCAGAUGAACUAAGUUCCUUGCACUGCUUUGGAGAAGAGUUUGAAGAGUCAGUUGCCAAUGGUCAACCACUGCCACUUAGGAGGGGCUAGCAAAAGACACUAAUGACAAUCUUUGGAAUAAAAAUGUCCUUGUUACUUCCAAGUUUUCAGAGCAUCUAUUAAAGCUGAUAGUGCAAGGUGUUGAUAUCUAAUCCGUUCAUUGCACUAUAUGUCCCCUCAUUUACCUCCCUCCCCUGCCGUACCCCUGCCAGCCAUGUUGCUCACGCCAAUUGUCCUUCCAGGAGGAUGGGGGCAGGGCUUCCCCUCGGAUAUGGUUACAAUUUUCCCACUGAGCCCACUGCCCCUCAGCAUCUGGUCUGGAGGAUUCGCUUCUCCUGCAGCAAUUCUGCCCAUUCACUCUUCCUUUGAAAGAUCGCUGCCCCUGAUUCUCAAAGCAGCAAGCAUUCUCUCCUUUGCCCUCAUUUCAUCUCAGCACAGGGCUCUUCAUUUGCUGUAGACAUCGUGGGGCUCUAGGCAUGGAGUGAUUCCGUUAAUGCAAUGAAAAAUGAUAGUCCUCAUCACUUCAGGUCCAAAUCAACCCCCUCAUAUACUCACACCAGCAGCAGCAGCCACAAUCAUUUACCAUGAAGCCACAUGAUUCAAUACACCACUUUCAUAUCCAAGGACCCAAAGAAGUUUAAGACACAGGCUCAUUCUUGGGUAAAAGUUUGACUCCAGCAGAGAAUAGCAUCCCUCCAGACUGAGGAGUGGUGAAGAGUGUGGAGUCAAGUUGGUCUGUGAGCAAAGAGCAGCCUUCGACCUUGGCUGGCUGGAAAUGUUCUCAUGAGAGAGGAAAGGUAUGAUACGACACGGGUGUUUGAGAAGGAGGGCAUCUAGUCAAGAAACAGAGAUGGGGCAGGAGAUGAGAGUGCUUACAACACGUUCAACAAUGUCGAAGAUCUUUCAAAUGUGAUUGGAGGGUGUGUGUAGAAGAGUAGAGAAAUGGAAUGUGAAAAAAUUGUUCGGACCAGACUAUGGGGAGCCUUCUAAAGCUGAGCUAAAGAGAUAGGACUUUAUUCUGUUGGCAGUGGGAAGUCAUUGAAGGAUUUUGAGGCAAGGUGAGGUACUUCUGCUAAGCAUUCUUUGAGAAAAAUGGCUCCAACAGGGUACAUAGGAUUGGAUUGGUGGGUGAAAGUGUCUGAAGGCAGAAACACUGUAGUGGGUUUAAUGGUGACCCUCAAAAAUUCAUGUCCAGCCAGAAUCUCAGAACGUGACCUUAUUUGGAAAUAGAGCCUUUGCACAUGUAAUUAGUUAAGAUGAGGUCAUACUGGCUUAGGGUGGGCUCUAAAUCUAAUGCCUGGUGUCCUUAAAAGAAGAGGAGAGGACACACAAAGAUGCGUACAGAGAGGAGAACACCAUGUGUAGGUGGAGACAGAGGGUGGAGUGAUGCUUCUCCAAGCCAAAGAAGACAAAGGAUGGCCAGCAACCACCAGAAGCGAGGAGAGAGGCAGGGAAGGGAUACUCCCUCCGAGCCUCCAGGAGGAAUCGACCCUGCUGACACCUCGAUUUCAGACUUCUGAUCUCUAGAACUGUGAGACAAUAAGUUUCUGUUGUUUUAAGCCACGCAGCUCGUGGUCCUUUGUAACAACAGCCCCAGGAAACUAACAGAGACCAAUAAAGAAUCUAGCUGGAAUUCAGGCUCUGCAAAUGACCCCUGAGACCAAAACAAGGCCUUGGAGAGAAACAAUAUUUGAAAAGAAUAACCAGUAAGAAGUCAUAACUGAGGAAGAACCGAGCUAUAGCAGAUCCAACUCCAAAUUCAUGGUGAGUGGGGACUCUCAUUUCACUCUUGGGCCAGCUCUCUAGGAUGUGAAUUUCUAGGAAGCUUCUAGUCCCGGAAGGUGCUCCUGGGGGUAGGGGUUAAAUCUGGCCUCCCAAUCUUGGAGUCAGACUGGAAGCAAUGCAGGGUGACCUCGGGCAAUCCUAGCCCAAAAAUGAGUAAAUACAUACUGUAAAUCAAACUGUCUUGUUUGUUUCUCUUUUUUGUUUUUCUUAGGGAAAAAUCUCUAAAAAGUCUAGAGAAUCGUCUAUAGAGUCCGCAGUGUGCAAAAAAGCCAAAGAAAAGCAGCUCCCCUUGAGGGCUGCAUGGUGAGAGCAAGAACUUUUGAGAGUCCCAAAGGGAGGGUGAAUGUGGAGGGAAUAGCCUGCCCGUCCCGACAUCCAGGUUUACCCUCCCACUUUGCAAGACCUGGGAUUUAUGACUGAGGGGGCAACAGAUUUCCACGGUGUUCCUGUCUCCCCUCUCAGCUGGCACGUGUUGCAAGCAGAGCUCAGCCUCCCUUCCCCAAUCAGGAGUCAGGCAGCCCUACAGCUGAGGGCACAAGGACCCAGACUCUCACCGCUACGCCUGUGCCUGGGGCGAAGUCUAGGGAGAGGUGGAUUUUGCUCUUGAGAGACCAUCCCCCGUCCCUGUUCCUGGAACCCCUCCCAGCGCAUCGGGAAGCUGUCAGUAAAGAACCCACAGGGCUGCCUCUUAAAAGGGGAAAAGCAAACAAUACUUCAGCCUGGGUACCAAUUAUCCCUGGACCUCGCCUACAGGUUCUGGUUCUUUCGAGGCCCCUACGUUUCUCACGGCUGGCGGUUACUCUGAAAAUGAAGAAGGGCCUUGUCCCCAGGCUUGGUCCUCACUGACAAUGCAGCCACCUCGCCCCACAGCUGGAUAUUGUCCUUCCCAGUCUCAGAGCUGCCCUCUCCACAUCCAAUCCCCAUUUGUCCCCCAAAGUGCCAUUUGUUUCUCUUAAAAUACAACUCACAGCAAGGGUUAGAGGUGCUCACCCCCAUCUUUCACCCACUAGGUUGGCACAGUUGGAGGAAAUGAGUUUUAAUAACACAAGCUGAGGGCCUGUUGGGGCUGGAAACACUCUCACGCUUUGCUGUGGGAGUGUCAGUUGACGUUAAUUUCCUUGAAGGUAAAAUCUGGAAUGGCAAUUUUUACUUUGAAUUUGUUCUGCCUUCUGACCCAGAAAUUCCACUUUUAGAAACUUAUUCUAAGAAAAUAAGGUAUGUAUACAAAUAUUCUGCUAGAAGGAUAUUCAUCUUGGCCUCAUGUACAAUAGAAAAAUAAAACUAAAUAGCAUCGAAAUAUCCAAGACAGGGAAGUUAUUUAAAUAAAUUUCGGAACAGUCACGCAUGGGAAUAUUAUCUAACCACCCAAGUGGGUGUUGUAAUACCAGUUGGCUU
rnacentral:lncRNA from 1 species